rnacentral:rRNA from 1 species
AACGAACGUUGGCGGCGUGGAUUAGGCAUGCAAGUCGAGCGAGAAAGAGGGGGCAACCCCUUGAGUAAAGCGGCGAACUGGUGAGUAAUAGGUGGGUAAUGUGCCUUUCAGUGGGGGAUAACACCUGGAAACAGGUGCUAAUACCGCAUGGUGCCCGGAGAGUUAGUCAUUCCGGGAUAAAGGUGCCAUAAGCAAUUGUGGUGUCGCUGAAAGAUCGGCCCGCCCCUGAUUAGCUUGUUGGUGGGGUAACGGCCUACCAAAGCUAUGAUCAGUAGCUGGUCUGAGAGGAUGGUCAGCCACACCGGGACUGAGAUACGGCCCGGACUCCUACGGGAGGCAGCAGUCUAGAGGCUUCGUCAAUGGGGGAAACCCUGAACGAGCGACGCCGCGUGCGGGAUGAAGGUCGUGAGAUUGUAAACCGCUGUCGGCAGGAAAAAUGCCCGAGUGGUGAACUCGGGAGUGAUGGUACCUGCAAAGGAAGCCCCGGCUAACUCCGUGCCAGCAGCCG